rnacentral:misc_RNA from 1 species
GAUGAAGAACGCAGUGAAAUGCGAUAAGUAAUGUGAAUUGCAGAAUUCAGUGAAUCAUCGAAUCUUUGAACGCACAUUGCGCCCGUCAGUAUUCUGGCGGGCAUGCCUGUUCGAGCGUCAUUACGCCCCUCAAGUCCCCUGUGGACUUGGUGUUGGGGAUCGGCGAGGCUGGUUUUCCAGCACAGCCGUCCCUUAAAUUAAUUGGCGGUCUCGCCGUGGCCCUCCUCUGCGCAGUAGUAAAACACUCGCAACAGGAGCCCGGCGCGGUCCACUGCCGUAAAACCCCCCAACUUUUUAUAGUUGACCUCGAAUCAGGUAGGACUACCCGCUGAACUUAAGCAUAUCAAAAGCGGAGGA